UGGGCCGGCAAGUCCCUUGUGAAAUCGGGCGGCUUAACCGCUCGGCGUGCAAGGGAAACUGUUGGUCUUGGGACCGGUAGGCGAUGAGGGUACUCCAGGGGUAGCGGUGAAAUGCUAUAAUCCUUGGGGGACCGCCAGUGGCGAAGGCGCUUAUCGAUGCCGGAUCCGACAGUGAGGGACGAAGGCCAGGGGAGCAAACCGGAUUAGAUACCCGGGUAGUCCUGGCUGCAAAGGAUGUGGGCUGGGUGCUUGUCGUUCCUCGAGAACGUCGAGUGCCGAAGGGAAGCCGUUAAGCCCACCGCCUGGGAA
rnacentral:rRNA from 1 species